GUUCGGUGCGGCUCGGGGAUCAAAACGUCACCGCGGCAGCUCGAAGCCCUCAGGAGGGCCUCUAAUGGGUCGAACCCAGUGAGGAGAUCCAGAGGACGAGUUCUAAAGAAUCUGGCAAUCUGCUGACCGUUGACAAUUCUUCCCCUUCUAUCAGUGGAUCUUCACACAAAUACGGGUAUUUCAUAGGUAACAGGCGUCAGUUACUUCAUUCAACAGGUUGUCACCUUUUCCUUCAAACUUACAUACUUACAAACAUGCAGCACAUGGCCUUCUUCUUCCGAUUGAUCAUGAAAUACCAAAUGACAGGUGCGUAAUCAGUAGUUUUUACUCCUCACUGACCGUGGUUUAGAAACAUGAUGAGAAUUCUAUUAUUUAUAAAAAUAGAGUCUUACUGAUUCUCUUUGAGUAUUAAUAUAUUUUUUUUCUCUGAACACUCCUGCUGCUUUGCCCCAAAUAAUCACUUGGAAAACCGCUAAAUAUCUGGUGCCGGAAGCUGCGCGGUGCCUCCUCAGCUCCUUUAAAGCGUAUUUACUCAACCCGUCUCCUCUCUCUUUGAGUCGCGGUCCCCGUGGUCCCCCAGUCCUCGUCCUCGGAGAGUCACUGAUCACCAUCAUCUGCCGCUGCUAAUGUCCAAAACCGCCGCUGCCAGACGUCCCGAUUUACAGUCAGGUUCUUACGCUUGGUCCGUCCUCGUGACGCUCGUACUCGCACGCGUCAGGUGAAGGCUGUUGGUCCCACGGAAGCUGUCACCACCAGACGGGGGCGUCCGUGGGGAGGAGGCCGGCGGUGGCGCUGUCAUCCAUUCCAUCGCGUUGACUUGAUGAACGAAGGAGCGGCGCCGGUGAUCACGACGGAGCUCGUCUCCCAGCGGGGCCUCAAUCCUCCGC
ensembl:lncRNA